CAGUCGCCGCGGUAAAACGAAGGGGGCUAGCGUUGUUCGGAUUUACUGGGCGUAAAGGGCGCGUAGGCGGACUGAUAAGUCAGGGGUGAAAUCCCAAGGCUCAACCUUGGAACUGCCUUUGAUACUGUUUGUCUUGAGUUCGAGAGAGGUAAGUGGAACUGCGAGUGUAGAGGUGAAAUUCGUAGAUAUUCGCAAGAACACCAGUGGCGAAGGCGGCUUACUGGCUCGAUACUGACGCUGAGGCGCGAAAGCGUGGGGAGCAAACAGGAUUAGAUACCCCAGUAGUCCCUGUCUCUUAUAC
rnacentral:rRNA from 1 species